rnacentral:rRNA from 1 species
CUCCUUUGACCUUGGGGAGUCUAUAAGGCAAUGUGUUCUUCUAAUACAUGCAAGGCCCUGUAACUAUAGGGUCCUACUGGUGAGGAUAAAACGGAGAUCAUCUCGGUUAACGUAUUAGAAUAGGCGGGAUAGUGGCCCACCUGGUCGAAGAUGCGUAGUAUAGCCACACUUUCACUGUAACAAGGGGAAGACAUUUUGGCAGCAGUAGAGAAUCUUGUGCAAUGGGUAAAACGCUUGACACAGGGUUUCACACCGAGGUCUGUCUAACUAAGUGCCAGCAGACGCGGUUAAACUUAGAGGGCCCCAGUUUUUAAUUUCGCAUUAGGCGUUAAAGUAUGUAGUGAAGCAUGAGGACAAAGUAAGGUAAACCUCUUGGUAACGGUGAAAUGUUUGAAGCAAGAGUGGAAGUCCGAAGGUGGAGACUCCUUACUCCGUUCAUGGUACGUCUUCAUGAAAUACGAAAGCUUGGAUAGCAAACAGGAUUAGAUACCCUGGUAGUCCUUGCCCUAAACUUAUACAAUAGCUUUAUUAGCGAAUAACCUUAUUGUAUGCCUGAAUACUAUGAUCGCAAGAUUGAAACUCAAAAGGCUUGGCUGUUCACUGUUUGAAUCAGAGGAGCGUGUAAUUUAAUACGAUGAUCCGCGUGUCACCUUACCUUUCCUUGAAAGCGGUGUAAGCCGCUCAGGCAUUGCAUGGCCGUCGUCAGGAUAACAAUAAAUGUUAUCCUUAACCCUAUUAUGGAUUAAGUCAGGUGUCAUGGUCUUUAUGGAAAGGGAUAUUAUGCGCUACAUUCUCCUACACAAUAUAUAUAUAGUAAAUUAGGAGGCGGAGAUUCUCUGAAAUGGGAAUCUUAAGUAGGAUUUGAUAGUAAUCGGGAAGUAGAGCGUUCCGGUGAAUUAGAACCCAGUGUUAGCACAAAUCGCCCGUCGUCCCCUUCAAGUUAAGGAUACGAGACGCCCCGUCGAAGGUUAUCCCUCCUUUUCGAGAAUGGGUAAGUCGUAACAUAGUAAGGGUAAGGGAACUUGUUCUUG